CCCAAGGCUCGCUUCGGCGGGU
rnacentral:snRNA from 1 species